rnacentral:rRNA from 1 species
AUGUUCCUACGGGACGCAGCAGUAGGGAAUCUUCCACAAUGGACGAAAGUCUGAUGGAGCAACGCCGCGUGAGUGAAGAAGGGUUUCGGCUCGGAAAGCUCUGUUGGUAGUGAAGAAAGAUAGAGGUAGUAACUGGCCUUUAUUUGACGGUAAUUACUUAGAAAGUCACGGCUAACUACGUGCCAGCAGCCGCGGUAAUACGUAGGUGGCAAGCGUUGUCCGGAUUUAUUGGGCGUAAAGCGAGUGCAGGCGGGUCAAUAAGUCUUAUGUGAAAGGCCU